UUGACUUAGCUGGGUAGUGGGGAACCCUUCCAUGAGGAGUAGAACACUCCUUAUGCAAGAUUCCCUUCUACCUGGCUGGGUUGG
rnacentral:pre_miRNA from 10 species